CAGUUAUCGAUUACUGGCUUUUGUAAACAAAGUUAAGAUUGGCUUGUGUUUUCUUUUUUUUGACUUAGGCAUAAAAAUUUUGUAACGCCGCUCCUGGACCCCUCAUCCGGUGCGAAACGGAGGCAUGGACGACAGGGAGACCUCCAAGCAUCGGCAACGCAAGCGCGACAUCGCCUCGUCCCUCUUUUCCUGGCCGAAUCCAAUCGAUGCAACUCUAAGAAGAACGGACGCAUAUGCUUCUUUCUGUGGAUGAAUAUGAAACUCCUGGCUGAUUUUAAUAUUAUUUUAUUUUCAGGUUUAUGUUUUGUUUGUAUUUUAUUUGCAGGUUUUGAUUGGUUUGUUUGGAAGCUAUCGUAGUAAGUGAAUUAAUUUGUGUUUUGGCUGAUUAUUAAAUGUAUUCUAUUUGCAGGUUCAAUUGAUUUAUUUGGAGGUUUGCGUUGUAUUUGGUAAGCGAGUCUAUUUAUGUUUUGGCUGAUUUUGAUUGUAUUUUAUUUGCAGAUAUUGAUUGGUUCGUUUGGAAGCUAGCGUGGUUCAAUUGGUUUAUUUGGAGGUGUGCGUUGAAUUUGAUUGUGAUUGGUUUGUUUGGAAGCUAGCGUGGUAAGUAAAUUAAUUUGUGUUUUGACUGAUUUUAAUUGUAUUUUAUUUGCAGGUUCAAUUGGUUUAUUUGGAGGUGUGCGUUGAAUUUGGUAAGCGAGUUUAUUUCUGUUUUGGCUGAUUUUGAUUGUAUUUUAUUUGCAGAUAUUAAUUGGUUUGUUUGGAAGCUAGCGUGGUUCAAUUGGUUUAUUUGGAGGUGUGCGUUGAGUUUGAUAUUGAUUGGUUUGCUUGAAUGCUAGCGUUCAAUUGGUUUAUUUGGAGGUGUGCGUUGAAUUUGGUUUUGAUUGGUUUGCUUGGAGGUGAUUUGGUUUAUACUUUCUGGAUUUUUGCUGUACCAUUGGAUCAAGUCUUAACCAUUCGGCUGGAGGACGCCUUCCUCUUCAUCCCCUCUGUGGUCUGGCACUAUAAUUCUUUGUAUACCCAAUGGUUGGCCCCUGAUUCUUUCAAGUAUUGUUUCCCUAGUAAAUUUCCCUUGAGCAUA